UGGGGUAUGGCUCAGCGGUAGAGCACUUGCCUAGCAAGUGUGCAAGGCCCUGAGUUCAAUCCUCAGCACCACAU
rnacentral:tRNA from 1 species